ensembl:lncRNA
AUGUGUAGCAGGAAUCCAGCGACUUUAAACCUCGCCUGCUGCAUCCCAGGCUGUGCAUUAGCAGGAAGCUGGAAUCAGGAGCAGAUCUGGAGCUCAAACUUGAACCCAGGCACUACAAAUAGGAUGUGGCCAUCCCAAUGGGAUCUUUUUUUUUUUUUAAAGAUUUUUUUAUUAAAAUCUUUGAAAUUUAUCUUUUAUUUAGUUGAAGUGUCAGUGGGGAGAGAAAGAGAGAAACAAAACGAGAGAAGAGGAGGGGAGGGGAGAAGAGGAAAGGAAGAAAGGGGAGGGGAGGGGAGAGGAGAUUAGUCUUCCAUCCAUUGCUGACAAUAGCUGUGGCUGAGCCAGGCCAAAACCAGGAGCUGAGAACUCAAUCCUGGUCUCCCACUUGGGUGACAAGAACCCAAGUACUUUUAGUCAUCAUUGCUCUCUCCCAAAGUGUACAUUAUUAGGAAGCUGGGGUCAGAAGCAAGCUGGAACUCAAACCCAGGCACUGAUAUGGGAUAUACCCCAGAGAUUUCUUAGCCACUGUACUAAACAACUGCCCCCUUACAUUUCAUUUUAUGAUCAACAAGUUUUUGGACCAUGUUAUCUUAGUCUCUCCCAAAUUACAGUGUAGUCUUGGAGAUACCUAUCUUCAGAGAGAUAUGCUCCUCUGUUUGAAUAGUGGUUUUGGUCUUUCUAAUUAAAGGUAUUUCCUACAGAAUUAUUCACUGUCCUUCACAAAGGAAAAGCGAAAACAAAAACAAACAAACAAAAAAGCCCACGGGGGAAUUUAGCCACUCUCAGCCUUCCCUGUCUGAGCUUUCACUUAUCAGCCCUGUGUAUGCCUAUGAUUUCUAGGUUCUUCAGCUACAGGGCUCCUUCCUCCUGGCUUGAAGCCCAAGUACUCUGAUGCUCUUUCUCAGCCUUCACAACUUCUAGGUGACCACGGCUCAGAAGCAAUGUGAGAAGCUAAGAUUCAAAGAACCCAUAGGUAAGUGAACAAUGUCUAUGCAGAGUGAAAAACGCUGUGAGAAUAGGAAGAAUGGGGCAAAAAGGCAGCUGUGACCCUCUCUUCCAGAAUGGGCAGAAAGACUGAGGGACGGCCUUGCCAAGGAAACAACACUUCAGCUGCAUCUUGAAGGCUACUUUCUCUAGGUAGUAAAAGUGCAGAAAGGGCCAGUGCCGCGGCUCACUAGGCUAAUCCUCCGCCUGCGGCGCCGGCACACCGGGUUCUAGUCCCGGUCGGGGCGCCGGAUUCUGUCCCGGUUGCCCCUCUUCCAGGCCAGCUCUCUGCUAUGGCCCGGGAAGGCAGUGGAGGAUGGCCCAAGUGCUUGGGCCCUGCACCUGCAUGGGAGACCAGGAUAAGCACCUGGCUCCUGGCUUCGGAUUAGCAUGCUGCGCCGGCCGCAGCGGCCAUUGGAGGGUGAGCCAACGGAAAAAGGAAGACCUUUCUCUCUGUCUCUCUCUCUCUCUCUCUCUCUCUCACUGUCCACUCUGCCUGUCAAAAAAAAAAGUGCAGAAAGGUGAUAUAUUGGUCUGUUUUCUAUUGCUAAAACAAAUUAUUUGAGGCUGGGUGAUAUACAAAGGUAAGAGCUUUAUGUAGCUCACAGUUGUGGAGGCUGAAAAUCCAAGAGCCCCACUGGUCCCACUUCAGUGAGUUGGCACCACAAUGACUGCACCAUGUGUGGAAGAAACCACAUGGACAGACAGGAAGCCAGAGAGGGACGGAGGCCAGGUCUGCUCUUUCAUAACACCUCGCUCUCCUGAGAACUAACUUGCUCCGCAAGACAAGCAUUAAUCUCUUCCAGAGGCAACAAGCUCAAUAAUCUCUAGGCCUCACCUCAUGAAAGAUCCCAUUGCCUCUCACAUUGCCACACCAGGGACCCUGCUUACAGAGCACAAACUCUUGAGGGAUACACUCAACCAUAGCAGGUGGGAAGCAGAGGAACAAGCAGAGAAUAAACAAGCCAGAAGUACAGUCCA